UGACGGGGACCCGCACAACCGGUGGAGCGUGUGGUUCAAUUCGAGACAAAACGAAGAACCUCACCAGGGUUUGACAUAAUACCGUACAUUUUCCUGGAAACAGGAAGAAAUCCGCAAGGAUGGUACUACAGGUGCUGCAUGGCUGUCGUCAGCUCGUGCCGUGAGGUGUUCCCUUAAGUGGGGAAACGAGCGCAACCCGCGCCAAAUGUUAAAUAUUCAUUUGGGACUGCCCCAGUUUUACUGGGAAGGAAGGAGCGGAAGACGUCAAGUCAGCAUGGUCCUUAUACCCUGGGCUACACACACACUACAAUGGCGAAAAACAACGUGUUGCAAGCCGGCAACGGCAAGCUAAUCACUCAAAUUUCGCCUCAGUUCAGAUUGGGGGCUGAAACUCGCCCUCAUGAAGUCGGAAUCGGUAGUAAUCGCGGAUCAGCAAGCCGCGGUGAAUACGUUCUCGGGUCUUGUACACACCGCCCGUCAAGGCAGCAAAGUCGGGAGUAGACGAACUACGAUUUUUUUCGUGGGAGUCUAAAUUCGGCGAUGAAGCUUAAGUCGUAACAAGGUAUCCCUAGCCGAAGCUGGGGAUGGAUCACCUCCUUUCUAAG
rnacentral:rRNA from 1 species